UGCUAUUGUAGGUCAGGUGUUUGCUUG
rnacentral:sRNA from 1 species